CACGGUAGGCGCAAGCGUUGUCCGGAAUUAUUGGGUCGUAAGAGCUCGUAGCGGUCUGUUGCGUCCGCUGUGAAAACUCGGGGCUUAACCCCGAGCCUGCAGUGGAUACGGGCAGACUAGAGGUAGGUAGGGGAGAAUGGAAUUCCCGGUGUAGCGGUGAAAUGCGCAGAUAUCGGGAGGAACACCGGUGGCGAAGGCGGUUCUCUGGGCCGUUACCUGACGCGAGGAGCGAAAGCGUGGGGAGCGAACGG
rnacentral:rRNA from 1 species